UACGGAGGAUGCAAGCGUUAUCCGGAAUCAUUGGGCGUAAAGCGUCCGCAGGUGGUUAAACAAGUCUGCAGUCAAAGCGUGGGGCUUAACUCCAUAUCGGCUGUGGAAACUGUUUGACUAGAGUACGGUAGGGGUCGCGGGAAUUCCCAGUGUAGCGGUGAAAUGCGUAGAUAUUGGGAGGAACACCAGCAGCGAAGGCGCGCGACUGGGCCGUAACUGACACUCAUGGACGAAAGCCAGGGGAGCGAAAGGG
rnacentral:rRNA from 1 species